rnacentral:tRNA from 1 species
GUAUUGGUGGUUCAGUGUAGAAUUUUCACCUUCCAUGAGGUAGAUCUGGGUUUGAUUCCUGGCCAAUGCA